UACAGAGGGUGCAAGCGUUAAUCGGAUUUACUGGGCGUAAAGCGUGCGUAGGCGGUUCAUUAAGUCGGUUGUGAAAUCCCUGGGCUUAACCUGGGAACUGCAGUCGAUACUGAUGGACUGGAGUACGGUAGAGGGUGGCGGAACUCCGGGUGUAGCGGUGAAAUGCGUAGAUAUCCGGAAGAACACCGAUGGCGAAGGCAACCACCUGGGCCUGUACUGACGCUGAGGUACGAAAGCGUGGGGAGCAAACAGG
rnacentral:rRNA from 1 species